UCUUGACAUCCUCUGACAAUCCUAGAGAUAGGACGUCCCCUUCGGGGGCAGAGUGACAGGUGGUGCAUGGUUGUCGUCAGCUCGUGUCGUGAGAUGUUGGGUUAAGUCCCGCAACGAGCGCAACCCUUGAUCUUAGUUGCCAGCAUUCAGUUGGGCACUCUAAGGUGACUGCCGGUGACAAACCGGAGGAAGGUGGGGAUGACGUCAAAUCAUCAUGCCCCUUAUGACCUGGGCUACACACGUGCUACAAUGGACAGAACAAAGGGCAGCGAAACCGCGAGGUUAAGCCAAUCCCACAAAUCUGUUCUCAGUUCGGAUCGCAGUCUGCAACUCGACUGCGUGAAGCUGGAAUCGCUAGUAAUCGCGGAUCAGCAUGCCGCGGUGAAUACGUUCCCGGGCCUUGUACACACCGCCCGUCACACCACGAGAGUUUGUAACACCCGAAGUCGGUGAGGUAACCUUUUAGGAGCCAGCCGCCGAAGGUGGGACAGAUGAUUGGGGUGAAGUCGUAACAAGGUAGCCGUAUCGGAAGGUGCGGCUGGAUCACCUCCUUU
rnacentral:rRNA from 1 species